rnacentral:rRNA from 1 species
UACGGGAGGCAGCAGUCGGGAAUUUUACACAAUGGGGGAAACCCUGAUGUAGCAACGCCGCGUGAGUGAUGAAGGUCUUCGGAUCGUAAAGCUCUUUUAAUAGGAAAGAAAAAAAUGACGGUACCUAUAGAAAAAGCACCGGCUAACUCCGUGCCAGCAGCCGCGGUAAU